rnacentral:rRNA from 1 species
UACGUAGGGUGCAAGCGUUGUCCGGAAUUAUUGGGCGUAAAGAGCUCGUAGGCGGUCUGUUACGUCGGCUGUGAAAACCUGGGGCUCAACCCCGGGCCUGCAGCCGAUACGGGCAGACUAGAGUUCGGUAGGGGAGACUGGAAUUCCUGGUGUAGCGGUGAAAUGCGCAGAUAUCAGGAGGAACACCGGUGGCGAAGGCGGGUCUCUGGGCCGAUACUGACGCUGAGGAGCGAAAGCGUGGGGAGCGAACAGG